rnacentral:rRNA from 1 species
GUAAAUAAUAAAGGGCGUAUGGUGGAUGCCUAGGCUCUCAGAGGCGAAGAAGGACGUGAUAAGCUGCGAAAAGCUCCGUUUAGGUGCAAAUAACCUUUGAUGCGGAGAUCUCCGAAUGGGAUAACCCAAUAUGUUGAAGACAUAUUAUACCGUAAGGUAGGCAAACGCAGGGAACUGAAACAUCUAAGUACCUGCAGGAGAAGAAAACAAACGUGAUUCCCCCAGUAGCGGCGAGCGACCGGGGAAAAGCCCAAACCGUUAUUGUUUCGGCAUUAACGGGGUAGUAGGACUGCGACAUUGAUGAAAUAAAUGAAAUGGAACACCUUGGAAAAUGUGAUCACAGAGGGUGAUAAUCCCGUACAUGCAAGUUUAUGAAUCAUAGCAGACUCCUGAGUAAGUCGGGACACGUGUAAUCCUGACCGAAUCCGCCGGGACCAUCCGGCAAGGCUAAAUACUCCUGAGAGACCGAUAGUGAACCAGUACCGUGAGGGAAAGGUGAAAAGCACUUCGAACAGAAGAGUGAAAUAGUCCCUGAACCCAUACGCCUACAAGCUGUCGGAGCCGCUUCGUGCGGUGACGGCGUGCCUUUUGCAUAAUGAGCCUACGAGUUACUCAUCACCAGCGAGGUUAAGUACUUCAGGUACGUAAGCCGAAGCGAAAGCGAGUCUGAAUAGGGCGUCAAGUUGGUGGUGGUAGACGCGAAACCUUAGUGAUCUACCCAUGGGCAGGGUGAAGGUUUGGUAACACAAACUGGAGGCCCGAACCGGUAAACGUUGAAAAGUUUUCGGAUGACCUGUGGGUAGGGGUGAAAGGCCAAUCAAACUGGGAAAUAGCUCGUACUCUCCGAAAUGCAUUUAGGUGCAGCCUCUGUUGUUUUGUUCUAGAGGUAGAGCUACUGAUUGGAUGCGAGGGCUUCACCGCCUAUCAAAUCCGGCCAAACUCCGAAUGCUAGAACAUGAAGACAGGGAGUGAGCCAGCGGGUGCUAAGGUCCGUUGACGAAAGAGGGAGAACUCAGACCAUCAGCUAAGGUCCCCAAUUGUAUGCUAAGUUGGAAUUAAAACGGGGUGGGACUGCUUAGACAGCUAGGAUGUUGGCUUGGAAGCAGCCAUUCAUUUAAAGAGUGCGUAACAGCUCACUAGUCGAGCGGUCCUGCAUGGAUAAUACGCGGGCAUAAGCAUAUAACCGAAGCUAUGGGAUUGUAGAUGAUACAAUCGGUAGGAGAGCAUUCCAUUCAGCAUAGAAGCAGUACCGUGAGGUAUUGUGGAGCGGAUGGAAAAGCAAAUGUAGGCAUAAGUAACGAUAAUGCGGGUGAGAACCCCGCACGCCGAAAGAUCAAGGAUUCCCCGGCAAUGUCAAUCAUCCGGGGGUAAGUCGGAUCCUAAGGGUAAGCCGAGUGGCGAUCCCGAUGGCAAACAGGUUAAUAUUCCUGUACUGAUCAUAACUGCGAUGCAGCGACGCAGAGGUGACACUGCUGCGUACUGACGGAAUAGUACGUUGAAACCCGUAUUCUUUGAUACCGGUAGUGAAGCACGCCGGUAGAGAUGAAAGGUGAUAGUACCGCAAUGCUUCGGUUGCGCGGAUAACGCAGGUAAGCUGACUGCCAAGAAAACCUGCUAAGCUUCAGGUAAUGAUCAUCCGUACUGUAAACGGACACACGUGAUCAGGUAGAAAAUACUAAGGCGCUCGAGAGAUUCAUGGUUAAGGAACUAGGCAAAAUGGUCCUGUAACUUCGGGAUAAAGGACGCUCUUGUGAAAGAGCCGCAGAUAAUAGGCCCAGGCGACUGUUUACCAAAAACACAUGGCUAUGCUAAUUCGCAAGAAGAUGUAUAUGGCCUGACACCUGCCCGGUGCCGGAAGGUUAAGAGGAGAGCUCAGAGGCAACUCGAAGGUUUGAAUUGAAGCCCCGGUAAACGGCGGCCGUAACUAUAACGGUCCUAAGGUAGCGAAAUUCCUUGUCGGGU